CAAAAAUAUUUACUUACAGAACAUAAUGCUGAAUAAUUUUAAUCUGUACAUAUUUUCCCUCCCAUCAUAGGUGACACGCGUUAGUCUGUACAAGUCAGGGGAAAAAACCCAUCUGGUUGUUUACAUCUGGAUGAACAGUCAAUAGAGCCAACCAGACUGGUGAGGUGGGUAUAGUUUGAGAAAGUAUAAAUACAGUGUAAUAUUAAUUGUGGUUAACAAUAUUCAGCCUUUAACAAAGUGAUACAAAAUAAAUCAUCUUAAGAUUUUUGACUGAAAAGAUCUAGCUGAGGAUGUUCUGCCAAACAGCCGACCAACUGAUCCAAAAGUUUAAGGCUGACUUGACUUAGCAACCUGCAGCACAACCGAAAACAUUGGCGCAGUUCAGAGCUCUUCGAAUGCAUAGCUUCAGUGUUACACACACAUUAAUUAUAUUCCUUCAAUUAGUUAAUCCUCUAGACAGUUUUCUUUUUGUUUUGCAUGCAUCCCGUUCCAUUUUCAUUAAGGGCAUCUCUUCCUUGAUCAACCAUGUGCUUUGCUUUUCAAUUUAUUUUUAUUUCUUUUUUGUAUGUUUUGUUAAGCUGUCAAUACCUCCAACACUUGGAAAAUGAAAUAUAGAUGCAGUCUUACUUACAGAAGAGAAUUAUAACUACAUGAACAAAGCAAAAUGAAAUGAAACAAGUAUCAGAAACAGUUUAUAAAAAUGGCACAUUUAUUGCUACAGAACGGUCAUGUACAUGACUUCAUCGAAUAACUACAGAUGGGAAACAGGUAAUGGCCUAGACCAAGCUGGGUUUGUUUUUAUCUUGAAGGAACUCCAGCACACAACCUGUUUGGACACGUCUACAAAUCAGAAAUACACCAAAAACAUGAAAAAAUCGAGGCACUCAGCCACACAUUGAAAACAAGGUGUAACUGUUUAUCUUUUUUUUUUUUUAAUGUUUUCCUUUUUUCUUUUUUUAACAAUUUUUUUUUUUAGUUUUUAAUGCUGCAGCUAUGUGUACAGUCGCAAAAAAUUUCCCCGCUGCGACCUACAACUAAAAAACAAAAACAGAAACAAGAAACAAAAAACAAAAAAAAAGCUACCAUACAGUUUCAUCUUGGUAACACAUGGUAAAAUAACAUCUUUUAAAUAGUAAAAUAAAGUAACAAACUUUUACUCAUAAUGAUUCCAAAAAUCUACAAAGAAGAAAUAUUCAGAAUCUGACAACUUUUUUUUUUUGUAAUAUUCAUGGUAUAAAAGGAUUGCUCCUGCGAAAAAUAAGCCAAAUAUAUUUUUUAUUUUUAAAUUUAGGGGUUUUUUUUCCUACUAGGGUGUACUACAGUCUAUUUUAUAGCAAAAAGAGCACUAGACAAACAAAGCUUUAUAACAAAAAGCCAGGCACUGAUACAUGGUAAAUCUCUGCUUUUUUUUUUUCUUAUCUUCACUUAAUUGCAUCACAAGUAACAAGAAUGAAAAAGGCCACAGUUCAUAUAUUUUCACCAUUACAUAUGUCUAUAAUACUUGAAAUGAAUAUGGCAAAACCAGCACUGCACAAAGAUGAGUCCACUUCAAGUCCCAUGAGAAAGAGCAUGUCUCUAAAGAAAAACAAAACCAAAGCAAAAUAAAAAGAGAGGCCUGAAGGCCUUGGUGCCCCAUUGUGUUGGAAUUCAUCAUAUUCCAUCUUGAUUUUUUUUGCUUCCAGUCAGCCAGCAGACUAAAUUUUUGUGCUUGUUUAUGCUGAAAUUGUUUCAUUCCUGACUCAAGUUCACUUUUGGACACAGAUCAUAUAUUCUGUCUGUUGGAUGCAAAGACGAAAAUCCUCUUAACCCCAAGUCUUGGUUCGACUCCCACCCCACUCCCCAAUCCCUCAUCAAAAUAAAGA